AAAUUGAAGAGUUUGAUCAUGGCUCAGAUUGAACGCUGGCGGCAGGCCUAACACAUGCAAGUCGAACGGUAACAGGAAGCAGCUUGCUGCUUCGCUGACGAGUGGCGGACGGGUGAGUAAUGUCUGGGAAACUGCCUGAUGGAGGGGGAUAACUACUGGAAACGGUGGCUAAUACCGCAUAACGUCGCAAGACCAAAGAGGGGGACCUUCGGGCCUCUUGCCAUCAGAUGUGCCCAGAUGGGAUUAGCUGGUUGGUGAGGUAACGGCUCACCAAGGCGACGAUCCCUAGCUGGUCUGAGAGGAUGACCAGCCACACUGGAACUGAGACACGGUCCAGACUCCUACGGGAGGCAGCAGUGGGGAAUAUUGCACAAUGGGCGCAAGCCUGAUGCAGCCAUGCCGCGUGUAUGAAGAAGGCCUUCGGGUUGUAAAGUACUUUCAGCGGGGAGGAAGGUGUU
rnacentral:rRNA from 1 species